GCAGAACGCGAAGAACCUUACCAAGGCUUGACAUAUACCUGAAAAGGCUGGAAACAGUCUCCCCGCAAGGCAGGUAUACAGGUGGUGCAUGGUUGUCGUCAGCUCGUGUCGUGAGAUGUUGGGUUAAGUCCCGCAACGAGCGCAACCCUCGUUCUAUGUUGCCAGCACGUAAUGGUGGGAACUCAUAGGAGACUGCCGGGGUCAACUCGGAGGAAGGUGGGGAUGACGUCAAAUCAUCAUGCCCCUUAUGUCUUGGGCUUCACGCAUGCUACAAUGGCCGGUACAAAGGGCUGCAAUACCGCAAGGUGGAGCGAACUCCCAAAAAGCCGGUCUCAGUUCGGAUUGAGGUCUGCAACUCGACCUCAUGAAGUCGGAGUCGCUAGUAAUCGCAGAUCAGCAACGCUGCGGUGAAUACGUUCCCGGGUCUUGUACACACCG
rnacentral:rRNA from 1 species